AGCAGCCGCGGUAAUUCCAGCUCCAAUAGCGUAUAUUAAAGUUGUUGCAGUUAAAAAGCUCGUAGUUGAAUUUCGGGGUCAGUAGAUCGGUCAUGCCACUGGUAUGUACUGGUCUCACUGAUUCCUCCUUCCUGAUGAGCCGUAAUGCCAUUAAUUUGGUGUUGCGAGGAAUCUGGACUGUUACUUUGAAAAAAUUAGAGUGUUUAAAGCAGGCUAACGCUUGAAUACAUUAGCAUGGAAUAAUGAAAUAGGACGUUCGAUCUUAUUUUGUUGGUUUCUAAGAUUGACGUAAUGAUUAAUAGGGAUAGUUGGGGGCAUUAGUAUUCAAUUGUCAGAGGUGAAAUUCUUGGAUUUAUUGAAGACUAACUACUGCGAAAGCAUUUGCCAAGGAUGUUUUCAUUAAUCAAGAACGAAAGUUAGGGGAUCGAAGACGAUCAGAUACCGUCGUAGUCUUAACCAUAAACUAUGUCGACUAGGGAUCGGAUGAUGUUAAUUUUUAAUGACUC
rnacentral:rRNA from 1 species